rnacentral:rRNA from 1 species
UGGGGAAUUUUGGACAAUGGGCGCAAGCCUGAUCCAGCAAUGCCGCGUGCAGGAUGAAGGCCUUCGGGUUGUAAACUGCUUUUGUACGGAACGAAAAAGCUCUCUCUAAUACAGGGGGUGAAUGACGGUACCGUAAGAAUAAGCACCGGCUAACUACGUGCCAGCAGCCGCGGUAAUACGUAGGGUGCGAGCGUUAAUCGGAAUUACUGGGCGUAAAGCGUGCGCAGGCGGUUUUGUAAGGCAGAGGUGAAAUCCCCGGGCUCAACCUGGGAACUGCCUUUGUGACUGCAAGGCUGGAGUGCGGCAGAGNGGGAUGGAAUUCCGCGUGUAGCAGUGAAAUGCGUAGAUAUGCGGAGGAACACCGAUGGCGAAGGCAAUCCCCUGGGCCUGCACUGACGCUCAUGCACGAAAGCGUGGGGAGCAAACA